GUCCUUUUAAUGUUGCACUGCUGCCUCCUGAAUCAGUGCAAUGUGAAAAGGGCAU
rnacentral:pre_miRNA from 1 species